UCAAAGCUGGUUACGCUUCUGCACCCUAUUAGCGAUACGCUGGCACGAGUGCUGUUCGAUAUGCACUUUUAUGAUGAUUCUGAGGUUGAAGAGGUGAAGCAAAAGGGGCUGACGAUGUCGAUGUAUACGCCAUUCUCAGUGUGCAGCAUUGCAGAUGUGCCACAACAACGAGAUGGUGCGUCUUGCGGAAUCUUGACCGUCAAAUUCAUCGAGCAUCUCAGUGCUGGGAUGUCGGUAGAUAAAGUUGACCCUUUGAAGAUCAAAUAUUACCGACUCAAGCUUGCAAUUGAGGGUUUAAGGGGGGAGGCAUAUUUAUGAGGUCGGUCUCAACCAAGGGUUGAUUGCAAUAUUCCAACCAAGAUGACCAUACACUGUUAUUUGAUGUAGGUUUUUUGUAUGACAUGGCUUUGCUUUAAUUGGUUUGGUUGUUCCAAGUUUUAUGUACACAAUCUCACAGUAACUGCCGAGUCGUUUUUCAUUUCAUGUAUUUGUCCGUGGUAUUUUGUUCCCCAAUAUUCUGAUUAUGGUCAAUAUGUAAACAUUACUGUGGAGCUUAUUGCAUGUUUUCUUUAUUUUGUGGCCA